rnacentral:lncRNA from 1 species
CAACAUCGUCCUGAUAUAAAUACACUACCACUUAUCCAUUUACUUUAAUUCUUUUGGGCCCAUUUGUCACUUACCAUCUUUAAUCAAACUAGGGAACGGUCACGGAAAAUUGAGUACUUCACUUUCACUUUGCCAUAGUAUAACUAUGGUCUUACGUAUGAUCACUUAUCACUUGUCCCUGAUCAGAUAAGUGUAGCCACCUAUCACUUUGUUUCUUGAUCACAUAAGUGUAGCCACUUAUCACUUUGUUUCUUGAUCAGAUAAGUGUAGCCACUUAUCACUUUGUUUCUUGAUCAGAUAAGUGUAGCCACUUAUCACUUUGUCUCUUGAUCAGAUAAGUAUAGC